GCCCUUUUAGCUUAAUUAAAGCACAAUAUUGAAAAUAUUUAGAUAUCCAAUGGAUUUAGAGCA
rnacentral:tRNA from 1 species